rnacentral:rRNA from 1 species
GCGACCCAGGUCAGCGGGAUCACCCGCUGAGUUUAAGCAUAUCAAUAA